UAUCAAUAAGCGGAGGAAAAGAAACUAACAAGGAUUCCCCUAGUAACGGCGAGUGAAGAGGGAUCAGCCCAAAUUUGUAAUCUGGCUCUUUCAGGGUCUGAGUUGUAAUUUUGAGAACUGUUUUCUGCUCUGGACCAUGUACAAGUCUGUUGAAAUGCAGCAUCAUUGAAGGUGAGAAUCCUGUUUAUGAUAUGGACUACCAGGGCUUUAUGAUACAGUCUCUAAGAGUCGAGUUGUUUGGGAAUGCAGCUCAAAGUGGGUGGUAAAUUCCAUCUAAGGCUAAAUAUUGGUGAGAGACCGAUAGCAAACAAGUACCGUGAGGGAAAGAUGAAAAGAACUUUGGAAAGAGAGUUAACAGUACGUGAAAUUGUUAAAAGGGAAACAGUUGAAGUUAGACUUGUUGUUGUUGGUUCAGCUCUUUAAGGGUGUUUUCUGAUAAUUAACAAACCAACAUCAAUCUUUGGGUGUUGGAUAAGGGUCAUUGAAAUGUAGCAGUUUUGGCUGUGUUAUAGUCUUUGACUUGGAUACAAUGCUUGGGAUUGAGGAUUGCAGUAAGCCAUUUAUUUGGUGGGACAAUUUAUUGUUCUUCUUACUGARGAUGUUGGUGCAAUAGCUUCAAUUGACCCGUCUUGAAACACGGACC
rnacentral:rRNA from 1 species